GAAAUUACUUUUUAUGUAUGCACACUAAACUCACAAAAUGCCAAAACACAAAUGUCAUUUCAUAUAUAUGCAUUGUUUGUCUGGUUAAUUAUUUCCGCGUUUAUUUUAACAUUUUUAUGCUGUGGGAAGCCAUUUUUACAAUUGUCUGCCUGCAAAUGCUCACAUGCAAGGUUGAAAUGACGGUAAGUAUUGAUGUUUUCUCAUAUUCUGGGAAACAUGUGUUGAAUAAAGGAAAGUAUUUACAUUAUACUAUCGCGUAAUGUGGUAUCAAAUAUAUAUAGGAGAAAUGUAGUAAAUUAGCUUCCUAUUCAGACAGUUAUGAUACAGAAUGGACUGUACAACUGAGGUAAGAUUUAAGGAAAAUACGUAAUAAAACCAAAAAAAAAAAAAUAAUAAUAAUAAAAUUGAACUUGUCAAUUAGUAUAAUAGUCUUGUUAUCAAUGUAAAUUUCCUCCGAACUAUAUUUAUUAUUCAUUCCGAUAUUUUACAGUGGACCUUGAAUCCUAGCAGAGCUCAUGCAAAUCUUCUAUGAUAACAGACAUGAAGAUUCCGUCAUGCAGGACGUCACGGAGAUAGAAGAUGAUCAAUAUCAGGACAUUGGUGCAGUUAGAAAAGGAAUGGAUUCCAGUGGAAAGCAUACCAAAAGGUAAAGUAUGCAUGUAUAAAAUAUUCAUAUGACUUUUCUGAAGGUAAGCGAUUUUAUUCAUCUGUUUUGUUGAUACCAUGGUUACUUGCAGUACUGCGAAAAAAACGUGGAAAAUGAUGAAAAUGGAAAACAAGGAGGUUAAAAAAUUCUGCAUAUUUGAAAAUUGCAACUCCACUUAGUUACUGAUUGUUUCUUGUUUUACGACCCAUCUGAGAGACAUCAGCUAUGCCAGUGAAGACUUCCAGAUGUUCCUGAAAUGCUAGAGAAUAUAUACGUAAAUUUUAUAAUAAUUUUGACUACAAGCGUAGUACAUGUAAAUAAACUGUUUAAGUUAUGUCUAUGUAAGCUUGUGUAAGCUUUAAUGCACAAUUUGACAAAUGUACAUGUAUAUCUCUACAUUUUCUGAUUUAGACAAAUCGUUGUAAUACUCAGUUACUUUGGCAUAUAUAUAUAUAUAUGGUUUCUUAUUUAUAUCACAAUGACUGACAUACACCUCAUUUAUUUUUCUUUUACAGAUAAAUAUCUCAACAUUUUAUGAAGUUUAAUUGUUUAAAGAACACAGAAGACCAAAAAGCAUGAUUUAUUUACAACUGAAUAAAACACGGGAACAAAACCGUAUAAAACAUAUAUUGAACAAUGUCCGCUAGAAAAUACUCAAAAGAAACUUUAAUAAUUCUUUAUUAUGAAAUUGACUGUAUAGAUUAUUUUGUUUACGGAGAAAUGAAUCUAACAAAAACCGAAUUGCACACUUUAUGAUGAAAGCCGAAUGCAUAUUAAUCAAAUAUAUCAAUUAUUCAAGUAAAUUUAAUUUAGUUUAAACAUUAUCUACCCUUUUUUUAAAAAAAAUAAAGUCCAUGGUACAAAAAUACUUGUUUAACUGUCCGACGCCUAUGAACUCGAAGCGUACCCAAAGGGGACCCCGAGCGAAUUUGAAGCGGACCCAGAGAGCGAACCCUAAAUUCAGUAGCGGUCCUACAGAGCGAACGCGCGUUCGGUAUUUCUUUACAGAUCUGUCAAUCAGGAUUAGCGAUUAACCAAUCAGCGUGUCAACCAAUUAAAAUAGCAUAUUGAUCAUAGGCGUCGGACAGUUAAACAAGUCUCAACUGGUAACAACAACAGUACAUUGUACAUCAUUUAAUCGAUCUGAAAUAACGCAUAACAUACAUUCAACUGUACAGCAAAUUUGGUACCCUAAUAUAUUUAGAUACAAUUUGGCUGAAAAGCCUUUUAUAUUUAGAUGUUAAUCGUUUGAAAACCUCUAUUUUCUCUAAAUAUAA